CACAGAGUUAGCCGGUGCUUAUUCUUCAGGUACCGUCAUUAGCGAGGGAUAUUAGCCCUCACCGUUUCUUCCCUGACAAAAGAGCUUUACAACCCGAAGGCCUUCUUCACUCACGCGGCAUUGCUGGAUCAGGCUUUCGCCCAUUGUCCAAAAUUCCCCACUGCUGCCUCCCGUAGGAGUCUGGACCGUGUCUCAGUUCCAGUGUGGCUGGUCGUCCUCUCAGACCAGCUACUGAUCGUGGCCUUGGUGAGCCUUUACCUCACCAACUAGCUAAUCAGAUAUCGGCCGCUCCAGGAGCACAAGGUCCGAAGAUCCCCUGCUUUCAUCCUUGGAUCGUAUGCGGUAUUAGCGUAACUUUCGCUACGUUAUCCCCCACUCUUGGGUACGUUCCGAUAUAUUACUCACCCGUUCGCCACUCGCCGCCAGGUUGCCCCGCGCUGCCGUUCGACUUGCAUGUGUAAAGCAUGCCGCCAGCGUUCAAUCUGAGCCAGGAUA
rnacentral:rRNA from 1 species